UACAGAGACAGUUGUAGUACAGUAAUUCAAAAUAUAGCAUCUGGACCAGGCAAGAUGGCUCAUGCCUGUAAUCCCAGCAUCUUGGGAGGCCAAGGUGGGAAGAUCACUUGAAACCAGAAGCUCAAGACCAGCCUGGGUAAAAUGAGGGCAAGCACUGAGGAUCUGGAUAAGAGAAGAAUUGGUAGGAAAACUCUUCGGUGUGCCCAAGCAUCUCCAAAAUGUUUUUUCAAAAGACAGGUGGACUUUAGCCCCUAAGAAGAAUCUGAUGCAGUCAAUCUGGUAACAACCCUACAGUGUCAGCUGCUAAAUUUAAGCCACUUGAGAUGUCUCACUUAGCAGGCAAGAACGAAUUGA